UACAGAGGUCUCAAGCGUUGUUCGGAUUUACUGGGCGUAAAGGGUGCGUAGGUGGUCGGGUAAGUCUCAUGUGAAAUCCCGCAGCUUAACUGCGGAACGGCAUGGGAUACUAUUCGGCUCGAGGAUUGGAGGGGGGACUGGAAUUCCCGGUGUAGCAGUGAAAUGCGUAGAUAUCGGGAGGAACACCAGUGGCGAAGGCGAGUCCCUGGACAAUUCCUGACGCUGAGGCACGAAAGCCAGGGGAGCAAACAGG
rnacentral:rRNA from 1 species